UUUUAUCCGGUAAAGCGAAUGAUUAGAGGUCUUGGGGCCGAAACGAUCUCAACCUAUUCUCAAAUUUUAAAUGGGUAAGAAGCCCGGCUCGCUGG
rnacentral:ncRNA from 1 species